CCUACGGGGGGCUGCAGUCGAGAAUCAUUCACAAUGGGGGAAACCCUGAUGGUGCGACGCCGCGUGGGGGAAUGAAGGUCUUCGGAUUGUAAACCCCUGUCAUGUGGGAGCAAAUUAAAAAGAUAGUACCACAAGAGGAAGAGACGGCUAACUCUGUGCCAGCAGCCGCGGUAAUACAGAGGUCUCAAGCGUUGUUCGGAAUCACUGGGCGUAAAGCGUGCGUAGGCGGUUUCGUAAGUCGUGUGUGAAAGGCGCGGGCUCAACCCGCGGACGGCACAUGAUACUGCGAGACUAGAGUAAGGGAGGGGGAACCGGAAUUCUCGGUGUAGCAGUGAAAUGCGUAGAUAUCGAGAGGAACACUCGUGGCGAAGGCGGGUUCCUGGACAUUAACUGACGCUGAGGCACGAAGGCCAGGGGAGCGAAAGGGAUUAGAUACCUUAGUAGUC
rnacentral:rRNA from 1 species